rnacentral:rRNA from 1 species
AACGUACGCUGGCGGCACGCCUAACACAUGCAAGUCGAACGCAGUAGCAAUACUGAGUGGCAGACGGGUGAGUAACAUGUGGGAAUCUGCCUGGUGGUUCAGGACAACAUUGGGAAACCGAUGCUAAUACUGGAUAAGCCCUUAUGGGGAAAGUUUUAAUGCCAUAAGAUGAGCCCGCAUUUGAUUAGUUAGUUGGUGAGGUAAUGGCUCACCAAGACAAUGAUCAAUAGCUGAUCUGAGAGGAUGAUCAGCCACACUGGGACUGAGACACGGCCCAGACUCCUACGGGAGGCAGCAGUGGGGAAUCUUGCACAAUGGAGGAAACUCUGAUGCAGCGAUGCCGCGUGAGUGAAGAAGGCCUUUGGGUUGUAAAGCUCUUUUGUAGGGGAAGAUAAUGACUGUACCCUAAGAAUAAGGUCCGGCUAACUUCGUGCCAGCAGCCGCGGUAA